AGCAAUCUGCAAGAUGAUAAGACGCCAAUAAGAUCUGGGACUGAAUGAGUGGAGUUCUGGCAGUGAUCUGAUUACCAUGUCAUUUUCACUUGAUGAAAUCAAGAAAUCAAGGCCAAGCUUGGAGUGAUACAACCUUUCAGAAGAGUAAUCUUUCUAGGGAUAAGACUCUAAAUGGAUGCAACAAGCCAGAAGUCGAGAAAUGGAGUUGUUAUUGCAUUGGUCUUGCUCACUAGGAACAUUGGUGGCUACAGAGUGGCUGAGAUGGCUGAUGCUUCUAGAGCCGUGAAGCAAUGGGGAAAUCAAUUUCAUUUCUUACACGUCUUAGUUCCAGAAAUAAAUGGAAUAGAACGUUCUAACCCGAUUCAGUUUCUUCACAAGGCAUAGGAAAUCAUCAAGAGAAAGAGAGAAUAUGCAGCUGUUUUUCUCACUAGCAGAAUAUCAAAGACAAUGAGGAUAUAGAGGCCAUGAGACCAUGGCUCAGUACAUUCAUGACAUGCUGAACAACUCGAGCAUGACUAUAUAUCAAAUAUGAUCAGACCACUGGAACAAAUGUUGUUAGCUGAUCAUUUGGUCAAGGGAUUUAUUUCAUGGUAGUUGGGUUCAGCAGAGCCUUACUAUGACAAUAGUUAGCUGUAUGAAAGUUGUAAGAAUUGCUAUCGGAAUGGAGAAAGGCAUAAUGCAUCCCCAGAAAUUCAGGAAAGUAGUGUGUACACUAUAAAAGCUUCAUUAGAAAGUUGCAUAAGGCUCAACACCAGUUUUGGUCUGAAUGCACACUGGCAUUUAACAAGUAAGAAGACAUUGCAACCUACACUAUAUAAGCUGUAGAUGACCCGAGGACAUUACACUUUCUUUCAAUGAUGUUCUGUCUUUGUGGGAGAAAAAGAUAGGCAAAACUCUUGAGAAGAUAUAUGUUCCAGAAGAGCAAGUCCUGAAGAACAUUGAAGAAUCCCCCAAAUCCGAUCAAUGUGCUGCUAUUUAUCAGUCAUUCUACAUUUAUGAAGGGAGAUUGAACCAGCUUUGAGAUUGAACCUUCAUUUGGUGUGGAGGUUUGAGCACUAUAUCCUAUGUCAAAUACACAGCUGUGGACGAGUAUCUCAAAAAAUUUGUCUAUACCAAAUCUAUUUUGUCUGCUACAUUAAGCAUAAUACUACCUUUGUACUGAACUUAUAUAGUUUUUCUACCUGUGAUAUGUCGAAUACUUCAUUGGUUUGGGUUCGUUUCUUGCGACUGUUUAACACAGCAGAGCUUUAGAGUAUGCCCUUUUGUUGAAUAAAAUUAUGAUUAUGGGAUUGUCUUUC